GACGAACGCUGGCGGCGUGCUUAACACAUGCAAGUCGAACGGGCCCGCCCCUGUUUUUGGGGGUGGGUUGAGUGGCGAACGGGUGAGUAUCACGUGAGUAACCUGCCCCCUGCUCCUGGAUAACUGCUUGAAAGGGCGGCUAAUACGGGGUGUGCCGGCUGGUCCGCAUGGGCCUGGUCGGGAUAGCUUCAUCUUCGGGUGUUUCGGUGGGGGAUGGGCUCGCGGCCUAUCAGCUUGUUGGUGGGGUGAUGGCCCACCAAGGCGGUGACGGGUAGCCGGCCUGAGAGGGUGGGCGGCCACGCUGGGACUGAGACACGGCCCAGACUCCUGCGGGAGGCAGCAGUGGGGGGUAUUGCACAAUGGGCGGAAGCCUGAUGCAGCGACGUCGCGUGAGGGAUGGAGGCCUUCGGGUUGUGAACCUCUUUCUCCGGUGGUGAAGGCCCUGUCCGUUGCGGCGGGGUUGACGGUAGCCGGGUAUGAAGCGCCGGCUAACUACGUG
rnacentral:rRNA from 1 species